AAGGAGCAUCUGCACUGCUCGCUUCGAAGAGUCGAAGCCGAGAGUGCCAGAGCCGCUUAUGUUCCCGAAUGUGGAACUGCGGAGCUCAUGGGUGGAACGCUGACAAGCUCCUCGCAUCAACGUCCGAUCCUGAGUGGUCGGCGGUGAGGAUAUAUCGACACACUGUUGGGUCCUGAAAGAACAGACGUUCUUUCCAGGCAAAAAAUACGAUCCGAAGGGGUCUCCUGAGAUACCGCGGUAGCGAGAGUUGCUGGCUGGUCCUGGAUUUCAGCUUCUUCGGGUGUGUUGUUUGAGAACUGCACAGUGGACGCGAGCAUCUUUGUUA
rnacentral:misc_RNA from 1 species